GUUUUCCCGUGCGGAAAGGUCUUCGGGUGGCUGCCGGUUGUUACGGCGGUUGCGGGUCGAACCGCUGUGUAAAGAUGGCACCUGGACUAAUUCAGAUGGCACUUGGACUAAAAUGGACGAGAAAACCUGUAGAGUCAAAGCCGUGCCAGCGCACUUUCGGUCGCUUUCGGUGCCGCCGCAACCACCCGGAAUUUUGCCAGUCCACCACUACUGGGACCUGGUUUGAGAACAUUCGAUUGGCGCCGGAGCAAGUACUGAUACUCACCUACUGCUUCGCAACAAAAAUGACCUUCCGGCAAGCAGUAAAAGAAGCCUCCCUGGACAGUACCAUGUCCGAAGCGACAGUCACAGACUGGUAUUCGUACUGCAGGGAAGUGUGUACUGACUCCCUUUCAGACGUGCACAGGGGAAAAAUCGGAGGCACAAACCACGUCGUAGAAAUCGACGAAUGCAAAAUAGGCCGACGCAAAUACCAACGUGGUCGUGUUGUGGAGGGGACCUGGAUCCUGGGCCUUAUCGAUGUGGACACAAAGGAGCUCCGACUUGCCGUUUGUCCUGACAACAAAAGGGACAAAAACACGCUCCUUGCCCUCAUCGAUGCCAAUGUGGAAAAGGGGACCACAAUAUACACUGACUGCUGGAAGGGCUACUGUGGACUAUCUGCCUCAGUCACGACGGAUCACAGUCUACAUGGGCCCUCUCGACACAUGGAAUACGUGUUCGCCAGACCCAACCUAACCUCAGUCACGACGGAUGCACAAUCUACAUGGGCCCUCUCGACACAUGGAAUACGUGUUCACCAGACCUAACCUAACCUCAGUCACGACGGAUCACAGUCUACAUGGGCCCUCUCGACACAUGAAAUACGUGUUCACCAGACCCAACCUAACCUCAGUCAUGACGGAUGCACAGUAUAUAUGGGCCCUCUUGACACAUGGAAUACGUAUUCGCCAGACCUAACCUAACCUCAGUCACGACGGAUGCACAGUCUACAUGGACCCUUUCGACACAUGGAAUACGUGUUCACCAGACCCAACCUAACCUCAGUCACGACGGAUGCACAGUCUACAUGGGCCCUCUCGACACAUGGAAUACGUGUUUACCAGACCUAACCUAACCUCAGUCACGACGGAUCACAGUCUACAUGGGCCCUCUCGAAACAUGAAAUACGUGUUCACCAGGCUCAACCUAACCUCAGUCACGAUGGAUGCACAGUCUACAUGGGCCCUCUCAACACAUGGGAUACGUGUUCACCAGACCCAGCCUAACCUCAGUCACAACGGAUGCACAGUCUACAUGGCCCUCUCCACACAUGGAAUACGUGUUCACCAGACCCAACCUAACCUCAGUCACGACGGAUGCACAGUCUAUACAUGGACCCUCUCGACACAUGGAAUACGUGUUCACCAGACCCAACCUAACCUCAGUCACGACGGAUGCACAGUCUAUACAUGGGCCCUCUCGACACAUGGAAUACGUGUUCACCAGACCAAACCAAACCUCAGUCACAACGGAUGCACAGUCUACAUGGGCUCUCUCCACACAUGGAAUACGGACUCAGCUGACCUGACCUAACCUCAGUCCCACCCAUUUCCUCUGAUUCAUUUGUGCCUCUGCUAAUAACUUUCAAUAUUAAAUUUCAAUACAUUUUAAUAUUAAAUGCUGCUAAUAACGUUCAAUAAUAAAUUUCAAUAUUAUAUUCAA